rnacentral:rRNA from 1 species
UACGGAGGGUGCAAGCGUUAUCCGGAUUCACUGGGUUUAAAGGGUGCGUAGGCGGCGCGGUAAGUCGGGUGUGAAAUCUCGGAGCUUAACUCCGAAACUGCAUUCGAUACUGCGGUGCUUGAGGACUGGAGAGGAGACUGGAAUUCAUGGUGUAGCAGUGAAAUGCGUAGAGAUCAUGAGGAAGACCAGUGGCGAAGGCGGGUCUCUGGACAGUUCCUGACACUGAGACACGAAGGCCAGGGGAGCAAACGGG